rnacentral:rRNA from 1 species
UACAGAGGUGGCAAGCGUUGUUCGGAAUUACUGGGCGUAAAGGGCGCGUAGGCGGCCAUCUAAGUCAGACGUGAAAUCCCCCGGCUUAACCUGGGAACUGCGUCUGAUACUGAAAGGCUUGAGUAUGGGAGAGGGAUGUAGAAUUCCAGGUGUAGCGGUGAAAUGCGUAGAUAUCUGGAGGAAUACCGGUGGCGAAGGCGGCAUCCUGGACCAUUACUGACGCUGAGGCGCGAAAGCUAGGGGAGCAGACGGG